GCAGUGUGACGGGAGUUAAUGUUCCCCAGAGCCUUACAUUCGGCUCUUGGCUUCUCUUAUAUUCUCUUUGCUGGCUUCCGCGUCUGUAUAUUUGUCUAGAGUCCAUUGCCUUGACUUCUACACUGUUUCAUCCAACUGUCUGAAUGCCGCCUGAAGACCCAAGAUGACGAGAGUGCCCCAAGUUGAUGGUGGUGUUCCAGGCAUCCGGGCUCUGAUGCCCCUGAGCUGUGGUGACAGCCCUCGAGGGGCCAAAGGUGGCCAAGCACAGUUCUGGAAGGGUGUGACUGAGCCUGUGUUGGGAGGGGUGGUAACCACCGAGCUGGAAGAGAAAGAGGCAAGGGUUGCUGUCAUCGGGAUUUGGAUGGGUUGAAAGAGCCAUCCAGAAACGCUGGUAAGACAAAGAAUUUGAAAGGGAGAAAGUAUGAAUGCCAAAUAAAGAAAAGCCCUUGAAAUGUGGCCAAAGACCUAUAUUAUAUGGAGAAAUAUCAGAAGCUAGUAUUUCGAACAGGAUGCUAUUAAUAUUUUAUUUCCAUCAGAAGCGUCAUGAAAAAGGAAGGACUUUGGAGGUCAGGAUUGUAGCACUGAUCAACGGCACGACUUGCUUCUCGUUUCUUACUUAUAUUCAAUGAAAACAGCUACGCCCGCACUCGAGGUUUCUCUGAAGAUUCUCAGGGUCAGCGCCUCAAAACCUGCGCUAUCCCAAUAUACUGGUGGCAAAACCCCAAAACCAAAACAAAGCGACAAACCAAACAAACCCAAGCCCAAACCACACCAAACAGACGCCUGGCCUUUGGCAGGCUCCGGGUGCACUCACUCUAUGACUUGGGGCGGAGUCCCUCGUCUUCCUGCAUCAGAGUUUGUUCAUCUGUGAAGAACGGUACCAACGCACGGAGUUGCCACGAAGAUCGUAUGGUCCACAAAUGACUCCGUGCCUGGCUCAUCAUAAGCCCUGAAUUAAGCACAGCCAAAGCCACCAGAGGAUAUACUGCAGAAGUUCCUAUCGCAAACACAGAGAAAACCCGUGAGAAAAAUUAGACGCUCUUCCUUGUAAAUAUACGCUUGCACGCUUUAAAGUAACGUGUAUAGGGUUAAUUCGAGGAAUGCAGUUGUCACUAAGGAUUCUGAUCUUAUGGCCCAAGUAUUUUUCCUAGCCCGUAUACCUGCAGCUGAACUUUAUUGAGACGAUUUCAGAAGUAGAUUAAUCAAUGCGAACUCGUCUCUCUUCAUUGUAUAUCGAUCGAUCUGCCAUUUACUAUGAAAAUGAGGCAGGAUUUAUAUACAGUGUACAUGUACCUAGUGUUACCUCACUUAAUCCUCUCAAGAUUUAUGUCAAAUAGGGUCUCGGGUUUUAUUUCGGUAGAUGAAGAAACGGAUUAAAACUGCGUCCAGGGGCCUAGAGCUGAGGACUCUACCCAUCCUGCGUACGUGGAAACUACGCCUCCUUCUUCACUCUCUGGAGGAAGUCGGCUUCCCCGAUGGAACCAAGAUAUUCCUGCUAGGGGCUAAACAUGUACACGCACUGCCAUAGGACAAAAUGCUCUCCCGAAAGAAAUUGAACGAUGCCGACAACCGCAUAAGUGACCUUUGAAGUAACUCCUUCCCAAUCGAACCUUCGGAUGAGAUGAACUUUCAGGUAAUACGAGAUCGAGAUUGCAGCCUUGUGAGAGAUCCUGAAGCAGGGGACUCAGCUAAGAAGAGUUUUAUGUGGUUACGUGUGACCAGUGCCAACACGAGGUAUAUUCAGAGCCCCUGGCUUUCUAGUUGGCAGAAACAAACAUCCAUGCGGCCAACGUUGUAGUACGUACCUUCCUCUAUGAAGCUGAAAGACUCCCAAGAAACAGACGUGAUUAGAAAUUACCUCCUCAAGAAACCAUCAAAACAUGGUUCACCUCCUGAACAUUCCGUUUAUCUCCUGAUCUAGCGGAGGUGGCCCGUGUUUCGUUCCUUGAUCGUGCUACCCUCUCUCUCCCAGGAUGGGCCACACCUGCCCCCAGCCUCUCUUGUUUCUUCCUUAGUAUCAUGGAAGAGGUCUUUUACAAGGGGACUCAAACACUUCAGCAGAGGAAUACUGUUGUGUUUCUCAGAAGAACUGCUCGCAUCAGACCACGGGUCACCAGGGCAGGACUUGCCACGGGCCCCAUCUCACCGACAAUUUCCAUUACACAUUCCUGACCGUGCACUGAAUAUUUUACUAAAGACAAGCAUCCAGAACACUAUGCCUGCACGAUAAAGGCUCUCCCCCACCAGCUUCAGAAAUGAGUGACAAGAAUUUUAUUAGUCAAGGAGAUGUCUAUUGAAGCAAUGCAACAGUGAUUUUAUUGCUGCUUAAGUGGAAAGCUUUAUUGUGUACGUCUUUGUUUGCUUUUAAUCAUUCUGUGACACUCCGAUGGGUGGUAUAGAAAUGUAAAGAUAAUGUUCUUGAAAGGCUCAUGUGAUUGUUUGAAAACAUAAAGGAAUAAAACUUAAUUAA